AUUGAACGCUGGCGGCAUGCCUUACACAUGCAAGUCGAACGGCAGCACGGGAGCAAUCCUGGUGGCGAGUGGCGAACGGGUGAGUAAAGUAUCGGAACGUGCCCAGUCGUGGGGGAUAACGUAGCGAAAGUUACGCUAAUACCGCAUACGAUCUAUGGAUGAAAGCGGGGGAUCGCAAGACCUCGCGCGAUUGGAGCGGCCGAUAUCAGAUUAGGUAGUUGGUGGGGUAAAGGCUCACCAAGCCGACGAUCUGUAGCUGGUCUGAGAGGACGACCAGCCACACUGGGACUGAGACACGGCCCAGACUCCUACGGGAGGCAGCAGUGGGGAAUUUUGGACAAUGGGCGAAAGCCUGAUCCAGCCAUGCCGCGUGCAGGAUGAAGGCCUUCGGAUUGUAAACUGCUUUUGUACGGAACGAAAAGGUGUGGGCUAAUAAGCUGAGCUCAUGACGGUACCGUAAGAAUAAGCACCGGCUAACUACGUGCCAGCCGCCGCCGUAA
rnacentral:rRNA from 1 species